ensembl:lncRNA
AUCACUCCGAACCACCAGGCAUUAAGCAAGGUCCAACAGAAUGUCAGCUACAGGCCCAGUUUAAUGUUCUGUGCUCACGCUUGGGCUGUUCUGUCCUGCCGGUCUCCUACGAUCUCUUCUCCAGAGGCAUUCUGACUCAGCUGGAGCUGGAGAAAAUCCAAGCAAUACUCAUCCCAACCCAGCAAGCACAGACUCUGCUGUCCAUCUGCCUGAAGAAAGGAGAAAAAGCAUGCACAAGCUUUUACACAGCGCUACAGAAUGAGGACGAGCAACUUGCUGAGGAACUUAAUAGUCAGUACAACUUUCCUGGCAGAAUCUGGAAUGGAGAUGCAUGCAGUAUUAUAAUAUAAAUGCAUGUAAUAUUGUACACUACUGGUCAAAUGUUUGAAAUAAUUAAGAUUUUUAAAUGUUUUUGAAAGAAGUCUCUUUUGCUCAUCAAGACUGCAUUUAUUUGAUGAAAAAUAUAACAAAUAUUAUGAUAUAUUAUUACAGUUUCAAGUAACUGUUUUCCAUUUUAAUAUAUUUUAAAAUGUAAUUUAUUCCUGUGAUGGCAAAGCUGAAUUUUCUGCAGCCAUUACUCCAGUCUGAAGUGUAACAUGAUCCUUCAGAAAUCAUUAGAAUAUGCUGAUUUGGAAAUUAUUAUUGGUGCUAUGGCUCUUAUUAUUAUUGUCAUUGUAGAAAUUUUGCUGCUUAUUAUUUUUGUGGAAAAUAUUUUUAGGAUUCUUUGAUGAAUACAAAGUUCAAUGAACAGUAAUUAUUUGAAAUAGAAAAGUUGUAACAUUAAAAUGCCUUAACUGUCACUUUGAUUAAUUUAUUAAAAGUGUUCUUUUUUUUGUACCUCAAACUUUUUUAUGGUAGUGUAUCAAGUUUCCACAAACAAUAUUACCACAGAAAAGUAAUAAACAUCAGUUAGAACUCCUAAUAUUGUUUCAGCCAGAAAUUCAGCCACCUGAAAUAUGAUAUUUUCUUUGCAAUCUUCUCAUUUUUCAGUAAAGAGCUUGGUGGAAGACCUUAAUAAAGAGCCUGAAGGCAGCAUUGUGCCGAUAGCAGUGGAGGAAACUAGAGCUCACUUGAGAGCAGCUUUACCUCUGUCAGGAGGCCUGCAGCAGGUCAUGACUCAGCUGGGCUUGACUGUGGGGGAUGAGAUUAGGUUUAAUGUCUGUGAGGUUGGUGUUGCGGUGGGUUUGCCGCGUCGGACCGUCAGAGAGUACCUUCUGGAAGGGGUUGGCAUUGAAGACUCGGCCCAGCUGGAGGCCCUAGUGUCGCUGUAUAUAGAGAAGACACAGGACGCUGACAGACUACUGAGCAGAGUGGCAGAACUCAGCCCUCGGUGGGUCCAGCUCUCAGAGAGGGGAUGUCUGCUGUUGAGGUUGCUGCAAAAAGCAGAGACUCUUCUCCGCAGCGGUAUCCACAGUCACCUGCACAGCUGGGACCACCUGCACGAUCAGGACAACUUACGCAGCUGGGACCACUUGUGUCCUGAUGACUGCACAGAUCAGCGCACCGUGUGGGCCAUCUUCAGCUUUCUGGUGUGGGACUGCAUGGCAGAGGUUCUGGAGGAGCCGGAGGCGAAGCCUAGCGGAGGCAUACUAGGUAUGAUUGAGCAACUGAGUGCCAGCGGCAGAGUGGAGGCCGCACUGCUGCAGGAAGUGGAGCAGUGCUGGACGGACGGGGACGCUGAGAGUCUGCUGCAGAGUGUGAGAGUCCUCGCUCAGGUGCUACGAGACCUGCAUCCCCUCCAGGAAGGCCUCCAGCUGUCCUCUUCAGUUGAGGGGUUGUUUUCCUGCAGGCCCAGCAGACUACACCGGGUCACUUCGUUCCAGGGUGUCUCUGUGCGGGUCAUCCGUAAAGCUCUGAGCAGCAUGGUUCCAUCCUCUGCGGACCAGGAUGCAACUCUUCUUGCUAGACAGUACUUGGAGGUGUGCGUUCGAAUCGCACGUCUCCUAGAUGUAGUGCAGCCCAAACGAACCACCGUUGACUUUUCUAAUGCAUCCAUUGCUACGGUCAUUCAGCAUGUGUGGUUUGUCUUGUCAAAUCCUGCUUUUAGCUCUGAAGCUUUUGACGCGGGAGUUCGCCAUCGCUUGCUUUCAGUGUUGGAGUUCAAUCCUGUGCAGCUGGGCUUGGGCUUUCUCAUGCAGCUCCACCAGGAGACCCUCUCCGAAUUCCAGAGCUACUUACAACUCGGCGAGCACCACAACUUCCAGUUUAUUCUCGAAUCGGUACGAAUACUUGGUCCUGCGAAGCUGUUUUCUGUCAGCAGGGUUCAUGGGCCUGUCGCCAUCGACAAUGGGGUGGAGGAAGUCCUUCGUUUUAUCACGUCAGAACCAACUUCAUUCCUUGUACGACUGCACUGCCUUUGCUACGAAGAAGGAAGGGGGCGCUUCAAGGUGUGCGUGCCACGUUGUGCAUGUAUGUAUUUGCUCAAGGCAGAAGGGCUGCGUGACAUGCAGUGGUGCGGUGGCAACGUUCUGGCUGAGGUAGGUGGGAAAGUGUGGGUCAGAGAGGGAGAAAGUAACGGCUGGGAUGAGCUACAGGCACUGGCUCAGAGACACUCUGCUCAGCUCAAGGAUGAAGGAUGCUGCUUUAAGGUCAAGACCUCUGGAUUGGAGUGCGAGGUCAAAUUUAUAUACAGGAGUGGAAGGCUAUGGGCUGUGCAACAUAGGGACUGUGAGGUAGUUUAA